CAUCUCAAGCCACCUUCAAUCAUGCUAUGAUCACAUGCAGGUUUAGUUGUUGGUUAAUUCUUGUAGUUAACACUGCACUGUUAGCCUUUGACUUUAUGAAUUUUGCAGUUUUGCCUGAUUAGAGAUGUUUGAUUUGAAAGUGUGCUAUUGUGAAAAACAUUUCCAACUACAAUGUAUAUAACCUUUAUGGUUGCAUCCAUUGAAUAAAUAGUGGUGAAUUUCAUGUGUAAUUAUUAUUAAUGGUAAAUUAUUUUUUUCAUUACAUCAAAUGUCUCCUGACAACAAUAAAAAAUUUGAAGGGGAUGUGUCAAGCCUGUGGUAAACUUGAUAACCUUGAGGGAUGUAUGAGGGGCCUCCAUGUAUCUGUUGAUUCAAGAGACAAGAAAGCUGGAAGAACUAUCAGUGCCUUUCUUACAUGAAGAGUCUUGGAAGAUUUAUUUGGAUACUGCUAUGAACUUUUCAUCUCUUGUUGAAUAGAAUUUAAAUUUAAUUAUUCGCACUUAAACUUUUUAGUUACUUUUUGGAUGUUUUCCAACCAACAAUUUCUGACAUUAUGAAUGUUAGCUUUCGAACCACCCAUUAGUUCUUUAUAAAGAGGGAUCCAAAUAUUUAUUCUGCUUCAGGAUCUGAGGAUCUAUAAAAUAAAUUUCAUAUUAAUAGACAGCAAUGUUAAAAGACAAGACAAAUAUCAUUCUUGUGAACAACCAACUAAAGAUUAAUUUAUAAGUAGCAUUAUCCUUGACAAUACAGAUAUGUAAUGUCUGUGAAAUUUGUAUUUGCAUCCAUAUGUGUAAAUCAAGCUACUGUUUCAGAAGUGUAAGGUAUUUUGAAAAUUUGUGUUAAAACAGCUAGUGCAUUUAAUGUAAGUUUGCUCUCUAUCAACAUCUGUACAGAUUUAAUUGAUUAAUAGUGAAAAUAAAAGUUUGUGUUCUUUAUACAGUA